rnacentral:rRNA from 1 species
UGGGGGAUAUUGCACAAUGGGCGAAAGCCUGAUGCAGCGACGCCGCGUGGGGGAUGAAGGCUUUCGGGUUGUAAACCUCUUUCGCUAUCGAACAAGGCCCGCUUAGGGUGGGUUGAGGGUAGGUGGAGAAGAAGCGCCGGCUAACUACGUGCCAGCAGCCGCGGUAAUACGUAGGGCGCGAGCGUUGUCCGGAAUUAUUGGGCGUAAAGGGCUUGUAGGCGGCUUGUUGCGCCUGCUGUGAAAACGCGGGGCUUAACUUCGCGCGUGCAGUGGGUACGGGCAGGCUUGAGUGUGGUAGGGGUGACUGGAAUUCCAGGUGUAGCGGUGGAAUGCGCAGAUAUCUGGAGGAACACCGAUGGCGAAGGCAGGUCACUGGGCCAUGACUGACGCUGAGGAGCGAAAGCAUGGGUAGCGAACAGG